CAACAAGAAGCAUCGAGAAGCGCCAGAAAAGAAAAGGCUAGGCUUGGAAGCUGCUUCUUUGCAAGUGUAAAUACGGUUUUCAAAGCAGACUCAAGCUGAAGAGGAGGCAUAAAACGGAAGUUUCUGGCUUUCACCUGGACUUGGCCCGUUGCCUUGACGGAUCAACCUCCUAUAAUGUUGCACCAGAUGAGUACUGUCACCCGCGCCAUGCUGCUGACGGCGGCAGAUGACUAUCCAGUUCUUGUUUCCAAGUUCCGCCUGGAAACAGCACCAGUGCUCCGUCUGCCCUGAUUAACCACAUCACCGAGGACAUCACCGGACGUGCUGUAUUUAAGCGACGGGCAUCGUACGCGCCUUUCUGUGGGCGUUGGCGGGCAGCAAGAUUGCAGACGUGACUAGAGACAUCUUUUCACUUUACCCAGUGCCUCCAUGACUACCGCGAGGCCGAACCGCCAAACUGCGUCGCAGAUUUCUAUCACCGGGUGACUGCUUCGGAGGAGGGCCGCGUGGCGCCGCCUGCGUCGUUGGAACGACCGAAUAGUUCACUGGCUCGACCACUGGAAAGCAACAAGCAUGAUAAUGGUCGCUUGAUUCUGCCUUGAGCUAUACCACCCAGGCUUUGCGCGAACUCACUCUAUACUGUUUGGAAGAACAUCAUUUCAGUUAUGUUGUCUUGGGGAAAUAUGAAACCGACAGCCAUGAGGAUCUGCUUGGAAAAUACCGGCAGUCGUCAGGGGCCCAAAACCAUGUGUCCAUCAAUCAAAUAUCAGUCAGAGACAAAGCUGAGUUUGCAAAGAGUUCCAGAAUUACCCGAGCUGGACAUGCUGCCAGCAUCAAGUGUGCCAAAGGUAGA